GACUCUCCGAAAUAGAUAUGCAUCUCUUACAUCAAUGAAGAAUGUAGCAAAAUAUGAUACUUAGUAUGAAUUGCAGAAUCCCGUGAACCAUCGAGUCUUUGAACUCAAGUUGUGCUCCAAGCCAUUAGGCUGAGGGCACAUCUACCUGGGUGUCA
rnacentral:rRNA from 1 species